AGAGUUUGAUCCUGGCUCAGAUUGAACGCUGGCGGCGUGCCUAACACAUGCAAGUCGAACGAGAAAGUGACUUCGGUCACUGGAAAGUGGCGUCCGGGUGAGUAACACGUGGGUAAUCUACCUUCGGGUGGGGAAUAACGUCUCGAAAGAGACGCUAAUACCGCAUAAUGCAGCGGCACCUAAUGGUGAAUAGUUGUUAAAGCGGGGGAUCGCAAGACCUCGCGCCUGAAGAGGAGCCUGCGGCAGAUUAGCUUGUUGGUGAGGUAAUGGCUCACCAAGGCUGCGAUCUGUAGCUGGUCUGAGAGGACGGCCAGCCACACUGGCACUGACACACGGGCCAGACUCCUACGGGAGGCAGCAGUGGGGAAUUUUGGGCAAUGGGCGCAAGCCUGACGAAGCAACGCCGCGUGGAGGAUGAAGGCCUUCGGGUCGUAAACUCCUGUCGACCGGGAAGAAUGCGCCCGACCUAAUACGUCGAAGCGUUGACUGUACCGGUGGAGGAAGCCACGGCUAACUCCGUGCCAGCAGCCGCGGUAAUACGGAGGGGACUAGCGUUGUUCGGAAUUACUGGGCGUAAAGCGCACGUAGGCGGAUUUGUAAGUCAGGGGUGAAAUCCCGGGGCUCAACCUCGGAACUGCCUUUGAUACUGCAAAUCUCGAGUCCGGAAGAGGUGAGUGGAAUUCCUAGUGUAGAGG
rnacentral:rRNA from 1 species